GGUUCUCAAAAAUUCGAGAUAGAUCUAAUUAUACUUUUUUACUUAUUUCUGCAUUAAUAGAGCAGACGAGUAAAAAAAUAAACCUAUUUAGGAUAAUAAUUGGAUAAGAGAGCCUCUACCCUGUCAACGGAUAGGGAGAGAACAAAAUCUGGAUAAAUACCAAUUCCUAUUACUGGUAAAAAGAUACAGAUUAAAAUAAAGAGUUCUCGUGGUCCAGAAUCCACAAAAUUUGCGUUUGGAACAUUAAAUAGCUUGUAUCCAUAGAACAUCUGGCGUAACAUAGAUAAUAAAUAAAUAGGAGUUAAUAUCAUUCCAAUUGCCAUUACAAAAGUAAUUAGUGUUUUUGGCAUUAACAGAAAUUUUGGACUAGUAAUUAGUCCAAAAAAUACUACUAAUUCUGCGACAAAACCACUCAUUCCUGGUAAGGC
rnacentral:rRNA from 1 species